UGAGCUAACGACCCGUUAUCAUUGCUCCAAA
rnacentral:piRNA from 1 species